UACGGAGGGUGCGAGCGUUGUCCGGAAUCAUUGGGCGUAAAGGGCGCGUAGGUGGCCUGCCAAGCGUGCGGUGAAAGUCGGGGGCUCAACCCCCGAUCGGCCGUGCGAACUGGGAGGCUUGAGCACUGUAGAGGCAGGCGGAAUUCCGGGUGUAGCGGUGGAAUACGUAGAGAUCCGGAAGAACACCGGUGGCGAAGGCGGCCUGCUGGGCAGUUUUGCUGACACUGAGGCGCGACAGCGUGGGGAGCAAACAGG
rnacentral:rRNA from 1 species